rnacentral:rRNA from 1 species
GGNAUUNUGGGUCUUGCGAAANUGUUUNCAAUUGUUUAUUCNUUUAAAAAUAGUAGGUAUAGCACUGAAUAUCUCGAGGGAGUAUGAAAAUAUUUAUCUCAGAUAUUUAAUCUCAAAAUAACUAUUUCUUAAAAUAAAUAAUCAGACUAUGUGCGAUAAGGUAGAUAGNCGAAAGGGAAACAGCCCAGAACAGUAAUUAAAGCUCCCCAAUUAAUAUUAAGUGAAAUAAAAGUUGUUGGAUAUCUAANACAGUUAAGAAGUGGGCUUG